GAGUUAUUUUAUAUUUUCUUAAAAUACUGAGUGGUUCCCAUAAUGAUCUCAUAAGGUGUUUUUUUCCCACUAUUAUGUAGUAGUAGUCUUGCAUUUUGAAAUAAAUAGAAUUGAAAUAUUUGAAUGUGGCUUUAUAAGCCUCUCUACUGGCUCUCCCAACGUUUUUAACCAUGGUUUGUGGCUACAAAGUACCUUGCAGCAUUUGGCUACAUAAAAAAGCGGCGCGGUGCAGUUUCAUGGGCGGUACCUGUCAGUGUUUUUGAAAGACAAGAUUCCUCCUGGUAGCUGUAUGGAAUAUAGGAACAUAAAAAUAUACCAUUUUAUUAGCGUGGCAGUAAAGUAUACCGGUCAAAUUUACAUGUAAUAAAUCCAUUAUUCUUGUUUAAACAUUUCAGCUAAAAACUCGUCAACACAAAAAAUCCUAUUUUCUCAAAUUCUACUGCAAUCAGAUAAAUUAGUUUCUCUGCCAUUUAAUUAGUUUAAUUAGUUACUAAUUACUUACUAAUUAGUGGCUAAUUAUUAUAUUAUCAUUAUUUAUUAUUUGAACUUUUCACUGCAUUUCCAUGCAACAACGAUGUGCGAUAAACUUUAAAACUUUUCUAAACUUGCGUCGCCGUGAAC
rnacentral:lncRNA from 1 species